rnacentral:rRNA from 1 species
AGCGAACGUUUGCGGCGGGCUUAACACAUGCAAGUCGAACGAGAAUCCCUUCGGGGAGGAAAGUGGCGCACGGGUGCGUAACACGUGGAUAACCAACCCAUUGGUUUGGGACAACACCGGGAAACUGGUGCUAAUACCAGAUGUGUCGCAGCUGUCUUCAGGCGGUUGCGAGAAAGGCCCGCAAGGGUCGCCAACGGACGGGUCCGCGUCCCAUCAGCUAGUUGGUGAGGUAAUGGCUCACCAAGGCAAAGACGGGUAGCUGGUCUGAGAGGAUGAUCAGCCACACUGGAACUGAGACACGGUCCAGACUCCUACGGGAGGCAGCAGUGGGGAAUAUUGCGCGAUGGGCGAAAGCCUGACGCAGCCACGCCGCGUGAGCGAUGAAGGUCUUCGGAUCGUAAAGCUCUGUGGGGGGAGAAGAAGAAAGCCGGUGAAGAGCCGGCCCUGACGGUAUCCCCUUAGCAAGCACCGGCUAACUCCGUGCCAGCAGCCGCGGUAAAGU